AGUAGUGGUCUUACCGAGUUUACAACUCCCAACCCAAUGUGCAACCAUACCAAACUGUUGCCUCGGCGGGGUCACGCCCCGGGUGCGUCGCAGCCCCGGAACCAGGCGCCCGCCGGAGGGACCAACCAAACUCUUUUCUGUAGUCCCCUCGCGGACGUUAUUUCUUACAGCUCUGAGCAAAAAUUCAAAAUGAAUCAAAACUUUCAACAACGGAUCUCUUGGUUCUGGCAUCGAUGAAGAACGCAGCGAAAUGCGAUAAGUAAUGUGAAUUGCAGAAUUCAGUGAAUCAUCGAAUCUUUGAACGCACAUUGCGCCCGCCAGUAUUCUGGCGGGCAUGCCUGUCCGAGCGUCAUUUCAACCCUCGAACCCCUCCGGGGGGUCGGCGUUGGGGAUCGGGAACCCCUAAGACGGGAUCCCGGCCCCGAAAUACAGUGGCGGUCUCGCCGCAGCCUCUCCUGCGCAGUAGUUUGCACAACUCGCACCGGGAGCGCGGCGCGUCCACGUCCGUAAAACACCCAACUUCUGAAAUGUUGACCUCGGAUCAGGUAGGAAUACCCGCUGAACUUAAGCAUAUCAAUUAAGCGGAGGA
rnacentral:rRNA from 1 species